CCUUGGAACCAUGCAUGUCCUUGGACAUGACACUUGGUCUGUCCUCCACUGGUACCAUAGGAAUAAUAGCAUUCCCUACCUUAGCGGGUAGUCCAUUCACAGUGUUUGAUGAAGGAGGCUGCAGCCUACAAAAGGUCAAGUCUUUCUAAACAAGUUAGUCUAAGUUGUUGCCCUGCUCUGCCUCCUGCCUUUGAGGGUUGCUGAUAAAUACACUAGACUGCAAAACACAAGUGCUGGGGGAAACAGCUAGAGACCAUAGAGGGAUUUCCAAUGAAGGAAAGCUUUGCUUGUGCUCAGCUUUAAUGAAAACAUGUAGCAAAAGAAGAGUGAAGUAUAUGGGAAGGAGUCUGGUAAUCCAGUGCCUCAGGGCUGCUACUGGUUAUUUUCCCCUUUCUAAAAGUAUUAUUUAGCUUCUGAUGACAUCCCUUCCCCGCUUCCCCUUGAAGCACUGGGCAUUGACCGAGGACAGAAGUGGGAGAUUAUGGGUAGCAUGCACUGGUACUCCUAACCAGAUCGCCUGAGGA